UACAGAGGUCUCAAGCGUUGUUCGGAUUCAUUGGGCGUAAAGGGUGCGUAGGCGGCGCGGUAAGUCGGGUGUGAAAUCUCGGAGCUUAACUCCGAAACUGCAUUCGAUACUGCCGUGCUCGAGGACUGGAGAGGAGACUGGAAUUUACGGUGUAACGGUGAAAUGCGUAGAUAUCGUAAGGAAGACCAGUGGCGAAGGCGGGUCUCUGGACAGUUCCUGACGCUGAGGCACGAAGGUCAGGGGAGCAAACGGG
rnacentral:rRNA from 1 species